rnacentral:pre_miRNA from 1 species
CGGGUACUCCCUCCGUCCGGAAAUACUUGUCGCAUAAAUGGAUGAAAAUGGAUGUAUCUAGAAUUAAAAUACAUCUAGAUACAUUUAUUUCAAUGACAAGUAUUUCCGGACGGAGGGAGUAUUUC